rnacentral:rRNA from 1 species
UACGGAGGAUGCGAGCGUUAUCCGGAUUUAUUGGGUUUAAAGGGUGCGUAGGCGGCCUGUUAAGUCAGCGGUGAAAUCUAGGAGCUUAACUCCUAAAUUGCCAUUGAUACUGGCGGGCUUGAGUGUAGAUGAGGUAGGCGGAAUGCGUGGUGUAGCGGUGAAAUGCAUAGAGAUCACGCAGAACUCCGAUUGCGAAGGCAGCUUACUAAGGUAUAACUGACACUGAAGCACGAAAGCGUGGGUAUCAAACAGG